rnacentral:lncRNA from 1 species
UUUUUCUUUCAGAACUUGGCCUAUAACCUUUGACCAGAUAGAAUUUGAACCCUUCUCACUAUGAUCAGUAUUUUUUUUUGUCUUACCUUUAGCUUUCAUAGGUUAAACUUGGAAAAACUAUUUGUUAUGAUCUCAGAAAUGUCACUGUCCCCCUCUUCUCUCUCACUGGUGUUAACUGCUAUGCACCUGGUAUAGUUCACCUGUAUUACUCACACAAGUGGUAGAUUUGAACCAAAGCCUCAGAAUUCUAUCUUUCUUCCUUCCCGAUGCUUCCCACUCUUAAAAGUAAAGAAAUUGCAGUACAGAUUAUUUAGUAGAGCUAGGCUUUGUCAAUACACGGGAUCAAAUCCCCAAGGUUUUGUCCUUGGUCACAUUUUCAAUAUGUAGAUGGGUGGUAAUGAAAUGAAAUUAUUUCCUGCUUUCCUAAAGGCUUUCCAGUCAUAGUUUAAUAACAGGGACUCAGGCUGAUUUUGCAAGAGCACUGACUUCACUUGGGUCUGCAGAUGUCUAGACCACUGAGUAGCAUCAAAAGUCACUGCCCUAAACCUGACAGAAUUAGCACUAUCCUGCUUUUCUGACCUGUUCUUUUCUCUGAGUUAUUCUCUCCUGUAGUCGUUUUGGAUUCCAGGAACAACAGAUCUGAUUGACAUCUUGUGUUGAGUUGAAACAGCAACUUUCUUACUGCUGCUGAUAAGGACCUCCUUGGCCAAUCCUGACAUAAUGAUCAACCAGACCACAGUUUGACCGAUGCUGGUGGAUAAUGCCCUCUGGACUAUAUAGGAUAGGCCCUCUGGCCUAUAUAAUCUGGGAGCUCAUGUCAGUACUCCCAGAGACAGGGCUGAGGAUGCUGGAUCCCCCUUGUAUUCUCAAUACAGCUCUAUGGAAUAAAUUCCUUUUGUGCAUUUCAUCAUUCCAUUUGGUUUCUGGGGUGAAUGGCUAGACCAAAUUCACUGGGACCCCCAGAGUUGGGCAUCCGGCUUAGAACUCCCGUUACAGCUUUGUAACCCAAGAGUGUCACUCUAUUUUGAGUAAAUUCUCAAGUUAAGAGUGAUUUUUAAAAUGUCCUUUCAUUUAAACAGUAAGUACUGUCCUACAAUACUUGAG